CGUCUAUAUACGUAUAGCAUAUCAAUAAGCGGAGGAAAAGAAACUAACAAGGAUUCCCUUAGUAACGGCGAGUGAAGCGGGAAGAGCUCAAAUUUGAAAUCUUCAAGGUUCUACCUUGACGAAUUGUAGUUUAAAGAAGUGUUUUCUGUUAGAGGAGUAGCAAAGUUCCUUGGAAUGGGACAUCAUAGAGGGUGAGAAUCCCGUAUUUGGUUAUUCUUUCUAGCUUUGUGAUACACUUUCAAAGAGUCGGAUUGUUUGGGAAUGCAGUCCAAAAUGGGUGGUAAAUUUCAUCUAAAGCUAAAUAUUGGCGAGAGACCGAUAGCGAACAAGUACCGUGAGGGAAAGAUGAAAAGAACUUUGAAAAGAGAGUUAAACAGUACGUGAAAUUGUCAAAGGGAAGCGUUUGACACCAGUGUUGUUUUUCCGAAAAUCAAUUAAGAACUGGCUUGAUUUUGUGUUGUAUUGACCUUAUCAGCUUUCUUCACUCUUUUUCGAGUCUUUCUUAAUGCACUUUUCGGUUAACAAGUCAACAUCAAUUUCUUUUGUUGUAAAAGGGUAUUUGGAAGGUGGCUUUCCUUUCGGAGAAAGUGUUUAUAGCCUUAUACCUCUACAAUCGGAGAGAUUGAGGUCUGCAGCGUAGAUCCUUCGGGGCUAGAUACACUUGUGCUAAGUUAUAGCUUUUCAUAGACAACUUGUUGACUAUGUUUAGUCAUGUAGCUUACCCGCUUGUGCUAUUUUACCUACGCUUAGGAUGUUGAGUCAUCACACAUCUCU
rnacentral:rRNA from 1 species